GACGUAGGGCGCGAGCGUUGUCCGGAUUUAUUGGGCGUAAAGAGCUCGUAGGCGGCUUGUCGCGUCGACUGUGAAAACUUGGGGCUUAACCCUGAGCUUGCGGUCGAUACGGGCAUGACUGGAGUUCGGCAGGGGAGACUGGAAUUCCUGGUGUAGCGGUGAAAUGCGCAGAUAUCAGGAGGAACACCGGUGGCGAAGGCGGGUCUCUGGGCCGAUACUGACGCUGAGGCACGAAAGCGUGGGGAGCAAACAGG
rnacentral:rRNA from 1 species